rnacentral:rRNA from 1 species
AGAGUUUGAUCCUGGCUCAGGAUGAACGCUAGCGGCAGGCCUAAUACAUGCAAGUCGAGGGGCAGCACAGGUAGCAAUACUGGGUGGCGACCGGCAAACGGGUGCGGAACACGUACGCAACCUUCCUUUAAGCGGGGAAUAGCCCAGAGAAAUUUGGAUUAAUACCCCAUAAGAAUGUGGACUGGCAUCAGUCAGCAUUUAAAGAUUUAUCACUUAAAGAUGGGCGUGCGUCUGAUUAGGUAGUUGGUGAGGUAACGGCCCACCAAGCCGACGAUCAGUAACUGGCGUGAGAGCGCGACCAGUCACACGGGCACUGAGACACGGGCCCGACUCCUACGGGAGGCAGCAGUAAGGAAUAUUGGUCAAUGGACGGAAGUCUGAACCAGCCAUGCCGCGUGGAGGAUGAAGGCCCUCUGGGUUGUAAACUUCUUUUAUCUGGGACGAAACACUUCCUUUCUAGGGAGCUUGACGGUACCAGGUGAAUAAGCACCGGCUAACUCCGUGCCAGCAGCCGCGGUAAUAC